UGGUGGCAGGAGGCCAUUGGUGGCCUUUGUAUCUGGUUCUGUUUAUGGUCCUGUGUGAGGUGUCGACAGACCUACAAGGCUACAAACGACAAUAAAGAAAAGUAGACAACUAAGAAAUUCAGGCCAAUUCCUCUCCCUCCCACCACCCCCUUGCAAUUUUCAAUAUCAAUAAGCCCUGAUUGGUAGGGUUCAUUAUUCUUCUUCUUCACCCCCACAGUGUUUCUGCAAACUAGGGUUGGUUAGAGAUUCUUGGCUAAAUUUGGAAAGUGCGGCUCUUUUUCCUUUUUUAUGCAAAACCCAUCUUUCUUUUUUCCUUUAUUCAUACUCUAUAUUAACAUACCACUCUCUCUCUCUCUCCACAUUUUCCAUUUAUAGAAGAAUGGAGGAAUAUCUGCUAAAUUAAUUGAUUGGUGUCGGAAGGGGUCGGAUCAUUUUUUCUCUCAAAAAUGACGAGGAGGAAAAUCCAGAUAAAAAAAAUUGACAACACAACUGCAAGGCAGGUGACUUUCUCUAAGAGGAGGAGGGGGCUGUUUAAGAAGGCUCUGGAGCUCUCAACUCUCUGUGAUGCUGAAAUUGCUCUCAUUGUCUUCUCUUCUACUGGAAAGCUCUUUGACUACGCCAGCUCAAGCAUUUCUACAAAGGAUGUCUCCUGUGAUUCCAUACCCAAAUGAAUGAAACAAUUGAUGUACAAGUGCAAAGCAUUUAGGAACAUACUUUGGGACUGGAUUAUAACAUUUGACUUAGAAGACAAAUUGUCAUCAU